AGGAUUAGAACGAUUCGAGCAUAUUGGCACGCGGUGUAAAGAAUCUUAUCUUCCCAGCUUGCUCUAGAUCCUCAGACGCCUGGACUCAACUGUCCAGCCUCUGACUCCCCGCUUCUCACUGCGCAGAGGUGAUAUUGGUCGUGUCUAAUGCCUAGGAGCUAGCACUGUGCUCACUGUGUGUCCUCCCUAACAGUGCCGUGUGGUAGGUGUACCUUAUUGUGUGUGAGGGGAGAGCAGGUUUACCUCAUUGGGUUGCUAUGAGGCUGGAUGAGAUCAUAGAUGUGUGGGUGGUUUGUAAAUCAAAGAAAGCUCUAUGCAAGUAUAAAGUGGUUCCUCUGCUUCUCUUGGCCUUGCUGUCCAAAAAAAAAAAAAGGAAAGAAAAGACAAGGGAGUGGAGUGGAGGGGAUUGUUCCUGCUGACUCCAAGCAGAUUUCCACCAGCCAGGAUAGUUUCACGUUAGUCCAUGGAGCACAGGAGUUAGACACGGAGGAAAAGGAACUAGAAGAAAUU